rnacentral:siRNA from 1 species
UUGGUGUGCCACGAGAACGUU